UACGAAGGGGGCUAGCGUUGUUCGGAAUUACUGGGCGUAAAGGGCGCGUAGGCGGUGUGUCAAGUCAGGCGUGAAAGCCCCGGGCUCAACCUGGGAACAGCGCUUGAGACUGGCACGCUCGAGUUCGGGAGAGGAUGGUGGAAUUCCCAGUGUAGAGGUGAAAUUCGUAGAUAUUGGGAAGAACACCGAUGGCGAAGGCAGCCUCCUGGGCCAAUACUGACGCUCAUGCACGAAAGCGUGGGGAGCAAACAGG
rnacentral:rRNA from 1 species